CUGAAUAAUACAGUUGGUUUGCUUUGUUUGAUACAACCGCAAUGAAUGCCGGGAAAAGCCCGCGAAUUCAAAUGAAACAAUGAACAGAGAGGCAGAGAAAUCCGUGUAUGGUUCGUUCAUUGAAUAUACAUCCGUCAAUGUUUGGAUUGUGUAAUAAUAAUUUGCAUUGUAUCUUUGAAUAAUGGCUAGCCUAGCGAUCAUCUACGUUCAAUGUUCAUCUAUGUUCAGUUCUUUCUUUGCCGUUGGGCUCACGAGCCGAUCAGUUGAUCGGAACAGCGAAUGUUUGGGAACUGUAGUUCUCUAGUAGUUAAGCGGAACUGGCGGCCGUUUAAUUCAAAAUACAUUUCCCUACAUGCAUCGCGUUGAGCUCAUGAGCCGAACAGCUGAUUUGAGAAGGAGAUGAAAGAUCUAGUGAAACGGAAGGUUUAAUUGUAGUGUUUAUUAUUUUCAACAGAAUAAUGACUGGCAUUCGUAGGUCCCCGGCGGACUUUGCAUCGUCCGGUCAUCCGGAUACGAUUGCUUUGAGGGAUCUGGCCUCCAAGAACUAUCACAUUUGUGUAGAUGACGUCUACACAAAAGAGCAGAAGAUGGAGCACGCCUACACGUUUGGGGUGCUGGUCUGCGACCAGACCAUACGAUACACCGAGAAGGCGAAGCACACCGAGAAUGUGCACAGGCAGCAGCUGGAGUGCCUACGGAGGGAGAACGAACGACUUGGACAGGAUCUCAGGACAUCCCAGGCCAGCUUGUCUGUUACGCAAACAGAUCUGGACGCCACACAGAACGAACUCGAUGACCUCCGCUGCACGAACGCCUCCCAAGAACUGGACUACCUGGACAGCAUGACCGCCUCCCAAGAUACUGAUUCGUCCCAUCCAUUGUGUUCGACGAUGGUCGAUGACAUGGACGAGAACGGGAACGGAGAUCCACUACCAGGCCCCUGAAAAAAUACUACCAGGCCCCUGUAAAGUAGUGUAGUUUGAUAUUGUAAAUAGUGUUUUUUUUUUAAUAUAGUGUGACAUUGUAAAUAGUGUGCUUUUUUUUAAACUUCAAUAAAAACUCAAACAUAGUGUGACAUUGUAAAUAGUGUGC
rnacentral:lncRNA from 1 species